rnacentral:lncRNA from 10 species
AAAAAAAAAAAGUGAUCAUUUUCAUGUGAGUUUAUGUGGGUGAGAGAGGGAGGGUGGCAGGAGAGGAGAGUGGAGAGGAGAGUGGUGCGUUCUGUGUCCCUGAAGGACAAAAUCAGAGAAAAUGAACUUUAAAUGGCAGAAAUUGUGGUCAGAUCUGGGGAAGGGCCAUCAGGUUUUCACACUCAGGCAUGGAGGGUGUAGUGUCUGGAACCUUUAGGAAGAGCCCCAGGCUCUAAGUGUGUGCUGGAUGUUCGUCGUUAUUGUUGUUGGUGGUGGGAUCUCAUGACCAGUUAUGGCAGUGGGUACCUGGGAGAAUUCCCGUGGGGGAUAGCUAGUCCAGGAGCUUGUAUCUUAAGGGGCCCUAUUUCCCAGCCGCAUACUGAGCAGGCCUGAUCCCAUCAACUCGGUUGAUGUCGGUUACUAAGAGGGCUGCAGGAAGAGGGCAUGACUCAGUGCAAUGUAACCCCGUGCUGGAGAUUCAACUGAGCUCUCAACCAGCAAGUGGCCAGGCACAGGGGAGCUGCUGUCUACACACGGAGGACUGGAAGUUCUUAGCAAGCCUGUCGGGAUUUGUGCACAGGAAUGCUGCCUCUAAGGUCCCUCCUGCUGACAAUGGCCAGGGCAGUGCGGAGGCUCCUCUUUGGAAAUUGUCUUCAGAGCUGAUGCAGACUCUUUUGAAAGCAGCCACAGACAUUGGGGAUGGAGUCUGGUGGUUAAGGACUUGGACUAGGAAGAUCAACUGGGCACGGUGAUUCUUGCAC